rnacentral:snRNA from 1 species
ACCACCUCUUACGGCGGCA